rnacentral:rRNA from 1 species
UGCAGUCGAGCGGACAGAUGGGAGCUUGCUCCCUGAUGUUAGCGGCGGACGGGUGAGUAACACGUGGGUAACCUGCCUGUAAGACUGGGAUAACUCCGGGAAACCGGGGCUAAUACCGGAUGCUUGAUUGAACCGCAUGGUUCAAUUAUAAAAGGUGGCUUCU